CGCACAUUGCGCCCACUAGCAUUCUGGUGGGCAUGCCUGUCCGAGCGUCAAUUCAAAGUUAAGCGCUCUUGCUUAGUGUUGAGGUCCGCCUAUAAACGGCGGCCUUUAAAGCUAUUGGCGGACUCGUCUAGAGCUCUCAGCGUAGUCAAUCUCCUGGCUGUUUGGCCUCUGGCGGCUCCUGCCACUUUGAAUUACCCUUAUCAAGUCUUGACCUCGGAUCAGGUAGGAAUACCCGCUGAACUUAA
rnacentral:misc_RNA from 1 species